GACGUAGGGCGCGAGCGUUGUCCGGAUUUAUUGGGCGUAAAGAGCUCGUAGGCGGCUUGUUGCGUCGACUGUGAAAACCUGCGGCUCAACCGUGUGGUCUGCAGUCGAUACGGGCAGGCUGGAGUUCGGUAGGGAAGACUGGAAUUCCUGGUGUAGCGGUGAAAUGCGCAGAUAUCAGGAGGAACACCGGUGGCGAAGGCGAGUCCCUGGACAACACCUGACACUGAGGCACGAAAGCUAGGGGAGCAAACAGG
rnacentral:rRNA from 1 species